UCCCUUGACUGCAUGGGGACUGCUGAGCUCACAGUCCAGGGCACCCCAGGCCCAUGUUCUGGGUCCUUGUUUGUCACAGGGCAAUAUUUUACACACCGCAAUUUACUACCGCCCACUCCAUAGCUUCUCCCCCCCACUCUUGUCCCUCCCUGUACUCAUUCCUUCCUCGAACACCUGUGACCACACCUGCUCUGACCUUGAUUUCUAGGUGGCUCCAUGUUGGAUGGUUGUGGUGGAACCCAACAAAAGCCACACUCUGGUCACAGCUGGAAUUGUGUUUUCUCUCCAUGGGUAAACUCAAGAAGCCCGGGGAACGCUCUGAACACCCACCAUAUUUUCUUCCACUGUGGAGCCACGAGGGGUCCCUCAACACCAGCCCAUGGCCAACCGGACCUGGGUGUUAGGGUUGUUCCCUGGAUUCCCUUAUGACUGCUCCUCACCUUCCUACAACUGCCCGAUCGCCCUCCUCUUUCCCCUUUAGUCGGUCACUUUACCUCACACUUCAUGUGGACGCCUUUGGACUAUAGAUGGUGUUAGACAGGAUAUAGAAGAUGCUAGAAUACAGGAAAUUUGCACGGAGCUCCUGUUUUCCCACUUCCGGAUCUGAAAUCUUCACCACACUUACCCAUGUUCCGUCCUUGCCCCCACACGCCUCCCCCCGCACGGCCCUCACCUCCUCAUGGCUGAAGCUCUAUGAAGACCUGUCUGCAUAUGGGCCCCUCUUCCAGUGCUCCGUCCCUCCAGGGCCACUCCAUCCAAGUCACCCUUGAAACAGUUACCAGUGAGUGGCCUCUGUGUGAUCAAAUACCCUGGACACUUUUCAUUCCUCUUUCUUGACUGCCCUAAAUCAAUGUUGACACAGAUGACCCCUCACAUCCUCUUAAAGUUCUUGUCUUCUCAUUCUCCACACUUGGCUCUGCUUGUUUUUUUCUAACUCAGUGUCCUUUGUCACUUACCGUUCCUUGUCUCCACCCCCCCAGGCUGGGUUCCUUAGGGGUCUCCUCUUUCUACACUCCUUCCCUGGGUGGCCUUACCCAGUCCUCUGUCACUAAUUCCCACUUAACUCAUGUCCAGCUCACACUACUGCUUGAGCACUACUCUUAUUUCCAAGUUCCCAGGUGACAUUGAUACGUAGAUGUUCCACAAACUGAAGAUCAGUACUUCUAAACAACCCUUCUUUCUUCCUACCCACAAAUAUGUCACUUUCUAAGUCUUCAAUAGCCCCUGAAUGGCAAUUGUCAUUCAUUAGACACCAAGGAUUUGGCAAGCCCCUCCCAGGGCCACCUGAGUUCAGGAUUCCUCAUCUAACAAUCACACUAUGAAAGAAUGGCAGCUGUCUUUGACUGACGGACAAGGAAGCAGACUCGUGAGUUAGUAACUUGCCCUGGGUCACAGUAGCAAAGCCAGAUAGAGAUCCAGGUCUCUGUAAUGGCCUCGCUCUUUUCCCUCUACUCAUGUCUUUUCAAAUCCUGGCUUCCGCUUCAUCAUUGGGAGACCAUCUUCAUCCUUAGGCACAUGUAGGGCCACCAUGUUGCACAAUUCCAGGGGAAAGUCACAAUGUCAUCUGUGUGAAUGGUGGUCCCUGGGGUGGCACCGUGGCAGCCUUUCACAUGAACUAGAAUGGGAACAAUCCCCAGGAGGCAGGCAGGGUGGUAGCCACAGAAACCAUCACUUAGCUCCCUCUGUCCCAUUUUCUCAUUCUUUCCCUCUCCUCCUCCCCACCCCACCUCUUCUGCCUACCGUGCAUCUCUUCAGCCGGCAUUCAGUCCGACUGUGGAUGGGAGAUGGAUCACUGAAGCCCUCAAGUGUGAGAAGUAGGGGAGGGGGUGACUCAGGGUUCUGCGGGGAAGCAGAAGCAAUGGGUAUGCAUGUCCUCUUGUCUUUGUCUCUGUCCCCUGUUUCCCCUGGAAUAGGCUCAAGCAAUGGUAGGGCUAACAAGCCCCAAAGCCAGAGGCGAGCCAGCAGACUAGAAAUUCCAGCAAUGCUGAGGUUGUACUCUUAUUCCAAAAGACCUCUGUUACAGUUUGGGGCUGAAUUCCUUUUUCAUAAGGGACGUCAGCUUCUUCUCUCGAGGUCUUUAGCUUAGAGGAUAAGGCCUUCCACAUCAUAGAGGGCCAUCUGCUUUACUUAAAGCCAGCUCACUGCACGUGCUAACCCUAUCUAAAAGACACCUUCAUGGCACAUCUAGACUGUUCUCUAGACAUUUGCUAAAUGACAGCAGCAUAGCCUAGGCAAGCUCACGGGUAAAAUGAGCCUCACAGGUAGGGACCGUCCCCGAUGAGAUCUCAGACACCCUUAGCCCAUGCAAUCCACUGGCUGUGAGCUCUGGGAUGCACUUGAAGAAGAGCAUUCUGUUUCCAGAAGAAAUCCAUAGAUGAUCG
rnacentral:lncRNA from 1 species